rnacentral:tRNA from 1 species
GCCGAGAUAGCUCAGAUGGUAGAGCAGCGGACUGAAAUUCCGCGUGUCCCCAGUUCGAUUCUGGGUCUCGGCA